GUCUUACCAUGCAGUCGAGCGAGAAUGUUAUGACAGAUUCUUCGGAUGAUGGAUUAACAGGAAAGCGGCGGACGGGUGAGUAACGCGUGGGUAACCUACCUUACACAAAGGGAUAGCCACUGGAAACGGUGAUUAAUACCAUAUGAAGCUAUAGGGUCGCAUGAUCUUGUAGUUAAAGUGUUAGCGGUGUAAGAUGGACCCGCGUCUGAUUAGCUAGUUGGUGAGGUAAAGGCUCACCAAGGCGACGAUCAGUAGCCGGCCUGAGAGGGUGAACGGCCACACUGGAACUGAGACACGGUCCAGACUUCUACGGAAGGCAGCAGUGGGGAAUAUUGCACAAUGGGGGAAACCCUGAUGCAGCAACGCCGUGUGAGCGAUGAAGGCUUUCGGGUCGUAAAGCUCUGUCCUGAAGGAAGAAAAAAAUGACGGUACUUCAGGAGGAAGCCCCGGCUAACUACGUGCCAGCAGCCGCGGUAAUACGUAGGGGGCAAGCGUUAUCCGGAAUCACUGGGCGUAAAGGGUGCGUAGGCGGUCUUGCAAGCCAGAAGUGAAAGGCAAUGGCUCAACCAUUGUAAGCUUUUGGAACUGCUAGACUUGAGUGCAGGAGAGGUAAGUGGAAUUCCUAGUGUAGAGGUGAAAUUCGUAGAUAUUAGGAGGAACACCAGUGGCGAAGGCGACUUACUGGACUGUAACUGACGCUGAGGCACGAAAGCGUGGGGAGCGAACAGGAUUAGAUACCCUGGUAGUCCACGCCGUAAACGAUGAGUACUAGGUGUCAGCCCUA
rnacentral:rRNA from 1 species